GAACAUCCAUCGUAUCAUAAGGGGAUCUGGUCCACCCCGGUUCCACCUCGUGAUGAGUGAUGGCCUGCACACCAUGUCCUCCUUCUGGCUGGUCACCCAAUUGAACUGUCUGGUUGAGGAGAACUGUCUGCUCCCCUACUGUGUCUGUCUACUGAAGAGGAGUGUCACCAACAUACUGAAGGAUGGAAGGUGUAUGGUGACAGUAUUGGAGAUGGAGGUGGUGAUGUCAGCAGAGGAGGUGGGAGGGAAGAUUGGAACACCUACUCCCUAUGCAGAAG